rnacentral:rRNA from 1 species
AUUGAACGCUGGCGGCAGGCCUAACACAUGCAAGUCGAGCGAGCGCCGGAAGGGUGAUUAAUGUAUGGGGACUGCCCGACAGAGGUGGUUAACUAUUGGAAUCGUUAGCUAACCCUGCUAACCAUCGGAUACCCCAUAUGGGCUUAGCUAGUAGGUGAGCUAAGGGCUAACUAAGGCGAAGACCCCUAGCUGGUCGGAGAGGAUGAUCAGCCACACUGUGACUGAGACACGGCCCAGACUCCUACGGAGGCAGCAGUGGGGAAUAUUGCACAAUGGGCGCAAGCCUGAUGCAGCCAUGCCGCGUGUAUGAAGAGGGCCCUAGGGUUGUAAAGUACUUUCAGUCGGGAGGCGUUACCGACAGAAGAAGCACCGGCUAACUCCGUGCCAGCAGCCGCGGUAAUAC